rnacentral:rRNA from 1 species
CCUACGGGAGGCUGCAGUCGAGAAUCAUUCACAAUGGGGGAAACCCUGAUGGUGCGACGCCGCGUGGGGGAAUGAAGGUCUUCGGAUUGUAAACCCCUGUCAUGUGGGAGCAAAUUAAAAAGAUAGUACCACAAGAGGAAGAGACGGCUAACUCUGUGCCAGCAGCCGCGGUAAGACAGAGGUCUCAAGCGUUGUUCGGAAUCACUGGGCGUAAAGCGUGCGUAGGCUGUUUCGUAAGUCGUGUGUGAAAGGCGCGGGCUCAACCCGCGGACGGCACAUGAUACUGCGAGACUAGAGUAAUGGAGGGGGAAGCGGAAUUCUCGGUGUAGCAGUGAAAUGCGUAGAUAUCGAGAGGAACACUCGUGGCGAAGGCGGGUUCCUGGACAUUAACUGACGCUGAGGCACGAAGGCCAGGGGAGCGAAAGGGAUUAGAUACCCGAGUAGUC